AACGUAGGAGACAAACGUUAUCCGGAGUUACUGGGCGUAAAGGGCGUGUAGGUGGUUUCGUAAGUCUGGCGUGAAAUUUCUCGGCUUAACCGAGGCAGGUCGUCGGAUACUGCGGAACUUGAGGACGGUAGAGGCGUGUGGAAUUCCGGGUGUAGUGGUGAAAUGCGUAGAGAUCCGGAGGAACACCAGUGGCGAAGGCGACACGCUGGGCCGUACCUGACACUGAUGCGCGACAGCAUGGGGAGCAAACGAG
rnacentral:rRNA from 1 species